ACAAUGUAGAGUUUGAUCCUGGCUCAGGAUGAACGCUAGCUACAGGCUUAACACAUGCAAGUCGAGGGGCAGCAUGUUGGUUGCUUGCAACCAAUGAUGGCGACCGGCGCACGGGUGAGUAACGCGUAUCCAACCUACCCAAUACUCAGGCAUAACCCGUUGAAAGACGGACUAAUUCCUGAUGGUAUGUAUUUUUCUCAUGAAUUAUACAUUAAAGAAUUUCGGUAUUGGAUGGGGAUGCGUCUGAUUAGUUUGUUGGUGAGGUAACGGCUCACCAAGACUUCGAUCAGUAGGGGUUCUGAGAGGAAGGUCCCCCACAUUGGAACUGAGACACGGUCCAAACUCCUACGGGAGGCAGCAGUGAGGAAUAUUGGUCAAUGGAUGCAAAUCUGAACCAGCCAAGUAGCGUGCAGGAUGACGGCCCUAUGGGUUGUAAACUGCUUUUAUGUGAGAAUAAAGUUAGGUAUGUAUACUUAUUUGCAUGUAUCACAUGAAUAA
rnacentral:rRNA from 1 species